AGUGAACGCUGGCGGUAGGCCUAACACAUGCAAGUCGAACGGCAGCACAGAGGAGCUUGCUCCUUGGGUGGCGAGUGGCGGACGGGUGAGGAAUACAUCGGAAUCUACUCUGUCGUGAGGGAUAACGUAGGGAAACUUACGCUAAUACCGCAUACGACCUACGGGUGAAAGCAGGGGACCUUCGGGCCUUGCGCGAUUGACUGAGCCGAUGUCGGAUUAGCUAGUUGGCGGGGUAAAGGCACACCAAGGCAACGAUCCGUAGCUGGUCUGAGAGGAUGAUCAGCCACACUGGAACUGAGACACGGUCCAGACUCCUACGGGAGGCAGCAGUGGUGAAUAUUGGACAAUGGGCGCAAGCCUGAUCCAGCCAUACCGCGUGGGUGAAGAAGGCCUUCGGGUUGUAAAGCCCUUUUGUUGGGAAAGAAAUCCAGCUGGCUAAUACCCGGUUGGGAUGACGGUACCCAAAGAAUAAGCACCGGCUAACUUCGUGCCAGCAGCCGCCGUAA
rnacentral:rRNA from 1 species